rnacentral:lncRNA from 1 species
CCCAUUCGGGCCUGAGUGAAGUGAGGAUGACCGUGACGGUGAUGCAGAGGAGGAGGAGAUUAGAAAGCAAGUCUGUGAUAGUACGUGGCAGGCGAGAUUUGCACACCCCGCACACAUUAGCGCUUGGAUGUCCGGCGGCAGUCUUGCCCUGUUGGCGCUAUUUUCCAUCUCUGUUCCGUAGACAGCAAAAUGGAGGUGCGGAGCAGUUUGUAGUGCGCCAGAGAGCACACAGUCCGGAAGCACGUGAACUAAAAAUUGAAACCAGACAAGCUGCCUCCACACUGGACUACUCUGCAGUGUUCAGGUGCUGCAGGUGAUUUUGAAAAACGCAUGUUAAGGUCCGAAGACAAUAGUGUAAGAUAAGGUAGAGCAAAGGAUGGCAUUCAAAGAUUGGAAUACCGGCAGCUGCUGGGGAGAGAAGCAUCUCUUCAAAUGAGACUGGAAGGUCAGAGGAGAAACACUGAAGGCAACA